ACAAAGGACCUUAGUAGCGUAUGAAAAUUACGAGUUUGUCGGAUAUAUAGAAAACAAUGAGCUUGGCGCUCCUGUUCCGCUCACUCCCCCAACACUCCUACCACCGCACCCUCCUUGCCAUUUCAACAACAGCCCAUCUCCGCCACCACAUGGCCACCGCAACCACAACCACAACCACCACCGAGCCAAUCACUCCGGCCAACACUCGACUGGGCUGGAUAGGGACCGGCGUGAUGGGCCGGUCCAUGUGCGCCCACCUCAUCAAAGCCGGCUACACCCUCACUAUCUUCACCCGCACCCAAUCCAAAGCCCAAACCCUCCUCGACAUAGGGGCCAACUGGGCCCCCACCCCUCUCGCCGUCGCCUCCCAAUCCGAUGUGGUCUUCUCCAUCGUUGGCUACCCCUCCGACGUCCGCCAAGUCCACCUCAACCCAUCCUCCGGCGCCCUCGCCGGCCUCCGUCCUGGCGGCGUCCUCGUCGACAUGACCACCUCCGACCCGUCCCUUGCCCUCGAACUCUCGUCCUCCGCCGCUUCCAAAUCCUGCUUCGCCAUCGACGCCCCCGUCUCCGGCGGAGAUCGCGGCGCCAAGAACGCAACUCUUUCGAUCUUUGCCGGCGGCGAUGAACCCACAAUUCGCCGCCUCACCCCAAUCUUUACCCUCCUUGGUAGGGUUAAUUACAUGGGUGGACCUGGAAAGGGCCAAUUCGCGAAGCUCGCGAACCAGAUUACAAUUGCUUCAACGAUGUUGGGGUUAGUGGAAGGUUUAAUAUAUGCACACAAAGCUGGUCUGGAUUUAUCACUAUAUUUGGAUGCGAUUUCGACUGGGGCUGCUGGGUCGAAAUCUCUUGAUUUGUAUGGGAAUAGGAUAUUGAAGAGGGACUUUGAGGCUGGUUUUUUUGUGAAUCACUUUGUGAAAGAUUUAGGUAUUUGUUUGAGGGAGUGUCAGAAUAUGGGACUUGCUUUGCCUGGAUUGGCACUUGCUCAGCAGCUCUAUGUUUCGCUUCAGGCUCAUGGUGAGGGUGAUUUGGGCACUCAAGCUCUUAUCUUGGCUCUCGAGAGACUCAACAAUGUCUCGCUUGAGUCGAAGCAGCAUUAGACCGGUAAUUUCGAACUUUAUGGGGAAAAUAGAAUUAUAUGUAUUGUUCUCAAAGCAGUAUUGAAAACGUUUCAUCAUUUUUAAUGGAAAAAGGGGGACAUGUAUAGCUGUUAGAAGGUAAGAGGGAGAACAAGGAGAAGCUAGGCUCUUCGAUUAUUUUCUGAAGGACUUGGGUUUACCUCUUUCUUUUUGGGCAAAUUUCGUAACAACAGUUUCCUGGAUUGACAUUGGGUUCAGAAGAUUUAUCUCACACUCAAGGUUCAUGUUGGGGAAGUAUUAUAUCCAGUCGCGAAGCAACAUAUUUGAAUCUGACCCUUCCUCACCUCUGCUGUCUUGAACCAUUAAUAAUUUGUCUUUUGAAUUUUCUGUAUGCCAGUUGAGCAAUGAUAAAUAUAUAGAUAUUUGAACAGAUUUCUGCUAUAAUAGUUCAUGAAAAUGGAACAAAAAGCAGUUAUUCCCGAA